AAACAGUCUGGGAGACUGUUUCAGCCUGAGCC
rnacentral:rRNA from 1 species